GUGUGUGCGCGCGUGCGCGGCGCGGGCUGGGGAGGGAGCACGUCACUUCCUGUUGCCUUAGGGGAACGUGGCUUUCCCUGCAGAGCCGUUGUCUCAGUCAGCGUCCCUGCUGCAUCAACCGGAGCUGGAGUCGGAUCGCGAGCGCACCCUCGCUAUGGACUCGGCCCUCAGCGACCCGCAUAACGGCAGCGCCGAGGCAGGCGGCCCCACCAACAGCACGACGCGGCCGCCUUCCACUCCCGAGGGCAUCGCGCUGGCCUACGGCAGCCUCCUGCUCAUGGCGCUGCUGCCCAUCUUCUUCGGCGCCCUGCGCUCCGUACGCUGCGCCCGCGGCAAGAAUGCUUCGGACAUGCCUGAAACGAUCACCAGCCGGGAUGCCGCCCGCUUCCCCAUCAUCGCCAGCUGUACACUCUUGGGACUCUACCUCUUCUUCAAAAUAUUCUCCCAGGAGUACAUCAACCUCUUGCUGUCCAUGUAUUUCUUCGUGCUGGGAAUCCUGGCCCUAUCCCACACCAUCAGCCCCUUCAUGAAUAAGUUUUUUCCGGCCACCUUUCCAAAUCGACAGUACCAGCUGCUCUUCACACAGGGUUCUGGGGAAAACAAGGAAGAGAUCAUCAAUUAUGAAUUUGACACCAAGGACCUGGUGUGCCUGGGCCUGAGCAGCAUCGUUGGCGUCUGGUACCUGCUGAGGAAGCACUGGAUUGCCAACAACCUUUUUGGCCUGGCCUUCUCCCUUAAUGGAGUAGAGCUCCUGCACCUCAACAAUGUCAGCACUGGCUGCAUCCUGCUGGGCGGACUCUUCAUCUACGAUGUCUUCUGGGUAUUUGGCACCAAUGUGAUGGUGACAGUGGCCAAGUCCUUUGAGGCACCAAUAAAACUGGUGUUUCCCCAGGAUCUGCUGGAGAAAGGCCUCGAAGCAAACAACUUUGCCAUGCUGGGACUUGGAGAUGUCGUCAUUCCAGGGAUCUUCAUUGCCUUGCUGCUGCGCUUUGACAUCAGCUUGAAGAAGAAUACCCACACCUACUUCUACACCAGCUUUGCAGCCUACAUCUUUGGCCUCGGCCUUACCAUCUUCAUCAUGCACAUCUUCAAGCAUGCUCAGCCUGCCCUCCUAUACCUGGUCCCCGCCUGCAUCGGUUUUCCUGUCCUGGUGGCGCUGGCCAAGGGAGAAGUGACAGAGAUGUUCAGCUACGAGUCCUCGGCGGAAAUCCUGCCUCAUACCCCGAGGCUCACCCACUUCCCCACAGUCUCGGGCUCCCCAGCCAGCCUGGCCGACUCCAUGCAACAGAAGCUAGCUGGCCCUCGCCGCCGGCGCCCGCAGAAUCCCAGCGCCAUGUAAUGCCCAGCGGGUGCCCACCUGCCCGCUUCCCCCUACUGCCCCGGGGCCCAAGUUAUGAGGAGUCAAAUCCUAAGGAUCCAGCGGCAGUGACAGAAUCCAAAGGAACAGAGGCAUCAGCAUCAAAGGGGCUGGAGAAGAAAGAGAAAUGAUGCGGCUGGUGCCCGAGCCUUUCAGGGCCAGACCAGACAGAUGGGGGCUGGGCCCACACAGGCGUGCAUGGGCAGAGGGCACAGGAGGCUGAGGGCAGCUCCAGGACAGGACAGGGGGCAGCAGGAUACCUCCAGCCAGGCCUCUGUGGCCUCUGUUUCCCUCUCCCUCUCCUGGCCCUCCUCUGCUCCUCCCCACACCCUGCAGGCAAAAGAAACCCCCAGCUUCCCCCCUCCCCUGGAGCCAAGUGGGAAAAGUGGGUGUGAUUUUUAGAUUUUGUAUUGUGGACUGAUUUUGCCUCACAUUAAAAACUCAUCCCAUGGCCAGGGCGAGCCACUGUGCUCCCAGAAGUUUCUCUGCGUAAGCACCCAGUGUCUUGCCGUAGGUUUUCUAGGUCUCACCUGCCCACCCAGAAUCCUUUCUGCAAGCCCCUUGAGGGUGCCCCCCCCCCAGUGCCUGGGCAGCCCUGCACCCCAAAAACACCUUUUAGCCAGUAGAGGGGGCCCACGAGCCUUCUCUCUCACCAGCUGUCACUUUUCUCACCACCUUCCUGGAAACACUUGGGGGCAGCAAGGGUGCUGGCAGAUGAGAGUCCCCCACUCACCGUGAUGAGAGCAGUGCGGAGUACCCAGGGCUGACCUGACUCACAAGGGAAGCAGUAACUGUAGAACCUGCCAACCUCCCUGGUCCCUGUGUCCAUAUGGCUUCGUCUGGUGAGGGCCUGGAGUCUAGGUUACCCUGAAGAUCAAGACUUUAUCUCUCCCAUUCUGUGCAUUCCUGGGUUUCUUCCCAAAAUUGCUGUGGGGCCAGUCACAGCACAAGGCCAGGACAGGACCUCUAGAGAGGCUGGAGUGAGGAAGGAUUGAGCCUAGUGAUUGUCAGAGGCUUUCUGGGGCCUAAGAGCUGAAAUCUUAGGGCCCAGGUUUCCCUAAAGUUUGCUGAAGACAGCAGCCCUGGCCAGCAGGAGACCGACCCCGCACCACCCCAAACCAGGCAAACAGUGGCCACAACCCUCAUCCAUGCACCUGGUAUGAGGUCACUGAGUGGGGAAACAGAAGAGGGUGGCCACUGGACUGAUGGACCCAGGGCUCUUCUUCGCCCAAAGCUUCAGGUUCAAAGGCUGAAAAUAACAGUGGCUUCCAGUUUGGAAGUGACCGAAGGACCAUCAUGACCAGAGACUCAGGAGCGUGAUUGUAGUACCCUCACUAGGUAUUAACAUGUACUGAGUACCUUGAUAGAGGAUUUCACUUCCUUCUGA